rnacentral:rRNA from 1 species
GGUCAAGUUAUUAAGGGUGCAGGGCGGAUGCCUUGGCACUAGGAGCCGAUGAAGGACGUGAUAAGCUGCGAUAAGCUUCGGGGAGUUGCACGUAAACUUUGAUCCGAAGAUUUCCGAAUGAGGAAACUCACUUAGAGUAAUGUCUAAGUAUCAUUAAGUGAAUACAUAGCUUAAUGAGGGGAACUCAGGGAACUGAAACAUCUAAGUACCUGAAGGAAGAGAAAGAAAUUCGAUUCCGUAAGUAGCGGCGAGCGAACGCGGAUUAGCCCAAACCAAUAAAGUUUUCUUUAUUGGGGUUGCGGACAUAUCAUAACGAAGAGGUAUCGUAAUUGAAGAGGUUUGGAAAGACCCACCACAGAAGGUAAUAGUCCUGUAUGUUAAACGAGAAGACUU